AAGAGAUUAGUAAAUGAACUGUUAUGACUGCCGAGUUACUGGUAUAAAGGCUAAAAAACGUCAUGUCAAUUGUCACAAGUAAAAAUAUAUGUUUAUAAAACUCAUGUUGUGAAAAAUAAUUUAAAAAACUUGAACGAUGGAAGUGAUGUGCAAUAAUUAUAUACCAGGUGAUUCGAGAUUAAUUGAAAAAUUAGUGUCGGAACUUAAAUCUCAAGGUAUAUUUGAUCAGUUUCGCAAAGAAUGUAUCUCCGACGUAGAUACGAAACCUGCAUACCAAAAUUUGAAGCAGAGAGUAGAAGGAAGUGUUAAUACGUUUUUAAAACAACAAACGUGGAGUAUUGAUUUAAAUAAAAAUCAACUUCGUGAACAAUUACGUAAAAAUCUAUUGGAAUCUGGUUAUUUGGAAACUGGUGUAGAGAGAAUUGUCGAUCAAGUUGUUAAUCCAAAAAUUAAUACAGUAUUUUUACCCAAAGUUGAAGAAAUAGUUUACAGAUUUCUGGGGGUGGAUAAACCAGUUCGAAAUGUUAAGAAUGAAGUUAAUGUGAGCAUAACUGAUUUACUACCCACCGAUCUUGAGGCGGUAUCUCCGGAAUCUGUACAUAGUUUCAAAAAUGAAUCAAAGAAAGAAGAUAAAUUAAAUUCUUUAUCAUCUAGUAUUAAACUUGAAGAAGAUGAAAGUCCACCGUUUGAACCUCUAAAUGAAAAUGAAGAAAAUAAUACUGUUAAUGAUGAUAAAAUGAUUGUUGAUGAAAAUACAAGAGACUCGCAUUUAUCUGGAUUUUCAGGUCUGGAAAGUCACGGAUCAAAUCCUGCUAAUAAGUGUUAUCAAAUGGAGUUGGAAUCCCAAAACAGUUCAGAGAGUCAUUUAUCCAUUUUCACUUCAGGGGAAACAUCUAAAAUGGAAGUUUGUGAGGAUUCUAUAGUCGAUGCUAACGUAGAAAAAUCAGAAGAUAAUGAAACUUACUAUAACUUAACAACUGAUAGCAUUGAAAACAAAAAUGAAAAGGAUACCGAAAAGAAAUAUGUUAAAGGAGAAGAAAAGGGAUCGAAGAGUACUGAAAAGUCUUCUAAAGAGAAAAAGGAUGAUAAACAUAGGAAAAGUAGUAGCUCGAAUAAAGAUAAAGAAAAAAAUUCAAAGUCAUCUCAGUCUAAAUACAAGGAAUAUAAAGAAAAGGAUAAGAAGAAUUCGAAAAGUAGCAGUUCUAAAGAUAGAGAUAACAAUAGAGAAAAAGUCGAUAAAGAUAAAGAAAAAUCUGAUAAAGAAAAGUCUUCGAAGAAACCGGAUAAGGAAAAAUAUAAAAGCGACAAAGAAAAAGACAAAGUAAAAUACGACAAAAGUAAAACAGAAAAAGAAACAGUAAAUAAAAUGGAAAAAGAAAAAGUUGAUAAAGAAAGAUUGAGAGAAAGAUCCGAUAAAAGAACUAAAUCAGAUAAUGAUAAAAACAAACAUGAUAAAGAUAAAUCUAUUAGAGAUAAGGAUAAGAAUACAAAGGAUAAUAAAUAUAAAGAAAAAUCUAAAAUAAAGGAAAAAUCAGAGAAAAGCUCAAAAGAUAGAUCCUCAAGAGACAAACCUAGUUCUAGUAAAGAGUCAAAAGAAAAGGAUUAUAAUAAAGAAUAUAAGGAUAAAAAUAAAGAAGAAAAAAAUAAAAGUUCGAGUAGUAGCUCAAAACAUAGUUCAAGUAAAGACAAAGACAAAAAGCCAAAAACUGACUCUAAUUCUCAAAGUACAUCAAAAUCUUCUAGUUCUAGUGAUUCUAAAUCUAAAAUAAACACUGAUAAAACAAAAAAAGAGGAAAUAAGUGAUAAACACGGAAAUAACAAGAAAGAAACACAAAAAGACACAAGAAAGAAAUCGAAAGAUGAUCAUUACAGUUCGAAAUUGAAUAAAACAGAUAGGAGAUCGACAGAUAGAGAUUCCAACGAUGGUAAAUCAUCGAGUAAAAAUAAUUUUACUACAUAUUCGGAAUCUUCUAGAUCAGAAAAUAAUUCUCAAGAUUGUACUAGUUCCAGUUUCACUGGUGGUUCCGGAGAUUCAAGUAAUUCAGAUAAAGUAGAAGGAAAUAGAGAAGUAAUCAUCACUGAAACCCAGAAACUGAAAUAUAUCAAACCUAAAUUUGCUCUAAAUUUUGAAGAAGCCAGGAAGAUAAUGAAAAUAAGAAAACAACUAGCGAUAUUGGAGAAACAAAAUAAAUUGAGCUUGGCGAAAAUAGAGCUGCCAUUUGAGAAGAUUAAAGCUGUAAAUGAUAACGAAAAAGUUGAUAUAAGUGAAGAAAAAGAAAAUAUUAACGGUUCUAAAUUAGAUAGCGGUGGUACUUCGUUAGUUUCGUCUAUUGAAGGUACUAAUUUGAGUAAAGAAAAUUGGGAAGCCCUGGAAGCCAAAUUGGAACAAGUGAUGGCUUUUGUUAAUAGUAACUCUUAUGAUUCAGAUGAAGAUUUCGAAUUUCGCGGUUACAGUUCGGUGGAUAACAUCCCUAAACACUUGAUCGAUUUAAGUGCGAAUCUAGUGAAGAAAACUGAGAAGGAAAUGAUGAAUAAACAAAUAGCACAUGAUAAAAGUGAAUCCGAUCAAAUACAAUUUUCUGUAGUUUUCAACAGUUUAAAUGAAAACAAUUGUUAUUAUUUAGAAAAACCAACUCAGCAAGAAGAAAAUAAUUUAAAAUUUAUUCGUGAGAUAGCUAGGAAUAUCGAGAAGGAAAUCAGUUACAGUUUUCGAGAUUAUAGUGGAAAAAUUUUGGGAAAAACAGGAAUGAAGAGGAAGUUCGAAGAAAUCGAUGCGAAGAACAAUAAUAAAACUGAUUAUACGAAAACAGAGAAAAAAAGGAGAAUAUCUGCCAGUUCCCAAUCAGUUGUUCGAGUGGCAAAUAAAAAAAACAGUACAGAUGUAACUCCUACUGAAGUUUUUCCACUUCCUCUAAGUCCCGCAGAAAGUGAUAAAUCAAAUGAGAGGAAAGACGAAGAUCUUUUGAUUCCUAUGAAACAGAAAAGGAUCGUACGAGGAUAUUCUCAACGGUAUUCCAGUGAUGAUUUAUACAAACCUCGACCGACAGUUGGAAGGAAUAAUUUCACAAGAAGAAAUAUUUGAAAUUUUGUAUCUAUUACUUCAAAAGUAAUAAUCGAAAAAAAUUGAAAUUUAGUGGUAAAUAGAAGUUAAUGGCUGAGUAGUAGAAUCGUAAUAGAUAAAUGUAUAGAAAUAUAAGAAGAAGAGAUGUACAGGAUUUUAGAGGAAUAAUCGUUAUAAAGUUGUCAAAUAGAUAAGUACGUUGGUGAUUAGUAGAUGCAACUAAAACAAAGUGAAGCGGGACAUUCCAUUCCUAUGAAUGAAGACGUUUGCAGAAUUUGGUUGCAAAGAAUAAAUAACCUCAAGUUAAUGCAUGCAGAUACAGUAUUAACAUCACAUAGAAUAUGUGAUAUUCAUUUUGAACCAAUUUGUAGAAAACCCAAUGGCAGGUUAAAAAAACUUUCACUGCCAACUCUACAUUUACCUGGUAAGUACUUAUAUUUACUGUGACAAUAAACCUCUUAUGAAUCCUAGUGAAAAGUUAUGCAGAGAAAAAGAAUUGCAAUUUCCUCCAAUAGUCAAUGUCCCAAUUUAUAAACCAUUCAAUAGAAGCUCAAAAUAUAUGGGAUUAGAUCUUAUGUGGCAGGUUCAGUAGCGAAGAAAUUAUUUAAAAGUCUCAAAUGCCACUUGUGUAAAAAUAUAAUAUUGUCAAACGAAUUAAUUAAGGCAAAUUCAUUAAUAUAUUCUAGGGAACAUAAAAAAAUGUUUUAUGUGCGCCUUCAGCAAAAUUCUGUGAUAUUUUUAAAAGUUUUUCUGAUAAAAUCUUCGAAAGAUUGCCCCAGUUAAUCAAUUCGUUAUGCAUAAAGAAACAAUUAUUUCGUUUGGAGGAUUUGACAGACAUUUUGUUCAGAUCAUAAGGAUUAUGUAAAUAUGUUUGUGAAUAUUAGUUUUAACAUAUGCAUCUUUCAUUACACAGGUAUUAUUAAUAAAAUUUUGAAGGGCAAAGAUCAACAAUAUAAAGACUAUGAUGUGAUGAAUAUGGCAUAUGUUAAAUAAAGGGAAAGCUGCAAGAAAGACAAUGGUAAUCAUUAAUUAACCAUGGUUAUAAAAUCGGUUUUUUAUAUACCAUUGUAUGCACCAUGUACAAACAGAAAGAUUUUUUAAACACUCCAAUAUCUCACUGUUGACAUUCCUAAGCCUGCUAAAGUGUGAAGGAAAAUUUUUUGUUUGUGGAUAUAGUUAUAAAAUGUUAAAAACAAAAUAAAUAUUAUAAUAAUCAUCCUAUGUUUCAAUAUUCCAUCUACCUAUAUCCUGUAUAAACCAUUUAAUUGUGAAAUUUAGAUGGUCGGACCUGGUUGUCACAUAAAUUGUAAAUGAAACCAAAAUAUUUUACAAAAUACUUCAUUUAAACAGCAUUUUAAUUUCAGGUAUUUAUAUUUUCUUGCAAACAACAAUAUUUGAAUUUGAAAUGUUAGCAAAAUGAAAGUAUUUGCAUAAUACUUUUGUUUCAUUCACAAUUUGAUGCGACAACUAGCUUGGAGCAUUUAAAAUUACUCGAGUUAUUUUCAAAUUUCCCGCGAAGUUAGCUUGGAUAUGAACCUUAGAUCAAAUCUUUGAUUGUAGAAAUCUUUUUUCUUGGUAUGGAGCCAGUCCGAAAGAUGUCGCUAGGAUCGAACUUUGUCGGCAAAUUUUUAUACAGAGUGGUAGAUCUAUCGAGUAUAUAAUAAUCUUUGGGUUGAUCAGUAGCUCAUCUAGUUGGAAAUUAUCGGAUAGUGUCUUCUUCAAAAAUUACGUGAAACUAUACAGAAACAUUUAUCAUAAGACAAUAAACGCUGCCAAGGAUAUUUAUUAUAAUAGGAGACUCACCAAUUCUCGUAAUGUUUCUAAAGAAACAUGAUCAAUUGUGAAUGAUCUUCGCAGUACAAUUAAUGACAUCAAGAAAAAGUCCUCAUCUGGAACUGAUAUUAAAAAUGUUUUGGAGUCUGCCCGAUUGCGCAUUAAAUCACCUUACGACUUUAAUUAACAUUUCAUGUUAAAAUGGCACUAUUCCCAAUUGCCUCAAGAUGGCUAUUGUGCAAAAUCAAAGUUAAAUUGAUCGUUUAAAGUAGAUCAUAAUCAAGGCCAAAAAGUAGUCGUUUCAAAAAUCUUGACCCUGGUGGAACAACUUUUUUUGCAAUUUAUAUUUAUUACCUCACAGUUUUAAUUGCUUUAAAAUAAAAAGUUGCUUAAUUUAUGUGUAUAAACAAUAAUUGGUUAAUAAAAAAAAUGGUGCCGAUCGAAAGUUUCGUUACAGGAUGGUCCACAAACUUUUACAUUUAUUUCUAAAUUAUUUAUUGGUCCCUUAUUUUCGUGCUUAUUUUCAUAUAAAACAUUUUUAUCUAUAUCUAUUUGUAACAAACGAUCAAAUUAUAACUAAACCAUUUCUUUAAACUAAACAAUAAGGGAUAUACAACCCUUCCAAGGGGUAAAUUAAGAAGUUUGUCUUUUUUUAAAAAUAUCUGCCAAAAAGGUUGCAAUUUAUGUUUUAGAAAUAAUUAUAAGGUAUAAUAAGAAUCAGUUUCGUGUCACCAUGUGCAAAAUACCAUAAUACAGGGUGGUAAAAAUAAGCCAUUACGUCAUAUAUUUUUAUAAAAAAGCAAUUCUAUAAACAACA